rnacentral:rRNA from 1 species
UACGGAGGAUCCAAGCGUUAUCCGGAUUUAUUGGGUUUAAAGGGUGCGUAGGCGGCUUUUUAAGUCAGGGGUGAAAGACGGUGGCUCAACCUAUCGCAGUGCCUUUGAUACUGAAGAGCUUGAUUACACUUGAAGUAGGCGGAAUGUGACAAGUAGCGGUGAAAUGCAUAGAUAUGUCACAGAACACCAAUUGCGAAGGCAGCUUACUAAAGUGACAAUGACGCUGAGGCACGAAAGCGUGGGGAUCAAACAGG